rnacentral:tRNA from 1 species
CAGGGAGACAACAAAAUGUUUAAUAUUAUUAUUUUGUCACCUUAGGUCGAUCGGUAUCUCACGUUUUUAAUUUAUUAAGAAUUUCACUUCCUAAGUUUUUCUAGGUCACACCCAUUAUUUUUCCUGGGCCAUUAGCUCAGGUGGUUAGAGCGCACCCCUGAUAAGGGUGAGGUCCCUGGUUCAAGUCCAGGAUGGCCCAUAUCUCUAUGUUGGGGGUAUAGCUCAGUUGGUAGAGCGCCUGCUUUGCAAGCAGGAUGUCAGCGGUUCGAGUCCGCUUACCUCCACUGAUUACCACCUCUUCCAUAAUCGGUAGAAAGGAAAUGUUUUGAGUAGUGAUCAAAUUCUGAAAGAAUCUAGCUUCCUAAUGAAACCAUUAAGAUGCUGGACUCAUUGAAUUAAUUUCAUUGUUUUCAGAGAACCUUGACAACUGCAUAGAUUAUUUUUUUAAAGACAAUAAGCAUUUUUAAUGAUGCAGAUUGAUUAUUUGUGCGAAUGCAUCAAUAACAAUUCUAUUAAGCUGAUGCUUCAAUUUUUGAAGUUAUU